GGUUUGUGGCUCAGUGGUAGAGUGCUUGCCUAGCAUGUGUGAGGCACUGGGUUCUAUCCUCGGCACCA
rnacentral:tRNA from 1 species